rnacentral:rRNA from 1 species
GUUAUUAAGGGUGGAGGGCGGAUGCCUUGGCACUA